AGAUCAGACUGUAAGAAGUUCUAGGAACUCAAGGGGAAAAACAGUUUUUUUUUUUUUUUUGAAAGCAUUGCUCUUUCUUCCGUUCCUAUGUUCUCACUCUGUCUUUUUUACUUCGGCGCGCUUGUGUGCUGGGUUAAUGGCUGUGUGACCACAUGCCGCUGUACUUGAUCAGUUAAUAAGGAAAUGGCAGUGAGAGGAAGAGGAGCAGUCACCAUGGCAAGGAGUGUGAGCAGACCGCAGGUCACGUGUGCACCAGGAAUGUAAGCGGAGGCUUUAUUCUCCAGGAGCCCCUCCCCCAAGCCCCCACCAGCCGAGGGACUCUUAGCUACGGUCUACCAGAAAUGGAAACAUGAUUAAAGAAGAAUCUAUUAGUGGAAAAAAUUGAACACGUCCACAUGAGUAAACAGCAUUGAAAGAAUAAUCCUAAACCUGAGUAUGGUAGCACGCACCUAUAAUGACAGCACUUGGGAGGAGAGAGUCAGAGAAUUGUGACUUCUAGUCCAGCUUGAACUACACCAGAACACCCCGUAUUGAAAAACAACAACAACAACAACAACAACCGCAACCCCUCCCUCCCACGAUAAACCUGUAACUGAUAAUAUUUGAGAUUCCCUUUCUUUUCGGAAAUGCAUUUUUAUCUUUCAUAUGCUAUCUCAGCUGAUGGUUAACGCCUAAGAAACCAUGAAAUCAUGUCUCUAGUUCUAGGUUCCAAACUUAUUGAAAGGCCUUUUUGUUUGUUUAUUUUUGAAUUGUGAGAUAUUUAUUUAUUUAUUUAUGUUUUUUAUACUUUUAAAAAAGUUUUAUUGCAA